GACAUACUCCCUCCGUCCCAAAAUUCUUGUCUUAAAUUUGUCUAGAUACGGAUGUACAUAAUACUAAAACGUGACUUGAUACAUCCGUAUUUAGACAAAUCUAAGACAAAAAUUUUGGGACGGAGGGAGUACAUU
rfam:Triticum aestivum genome assembly, contig: Triticum_aestivum_CS42_TGACv1_scaffold_223114_3B